UUUGCCCGCGGCCUAUUUUUGGCACAUGGCGGCCCCUAGCAAUGUCUCGCGGCAUUCCGAGUCCGGCGGACGAAGUUGGCCAGCAUCAACCCCCAAGGCUAUAGCCCACCCGUUUUUGUGGCCUUUUUCCGCUGGACGAACUUGGUGCCCCGGCCUUCGGGCGGUUACAUUUAGGCGCGGCUUUUCCCGCGGCCUAUUUUUGGCACGCGGAGGCCCCUCGCAAAGUCUCACGGCAUUCCGAGUCCGGCGGACGAAGUUGGCCAGCAUCACCCCCCAAGGCUAUAGCCCACCCGUUUUUGUGGCCUUUUUCCGCUGGACGAACUUGGCGCCCCGGCCUUCGGGCGGUUAAUUUUGGGCGUGGCUUUGCCCGCGGCCUAUUUUUGGCACACGGCGGCCCCUAGCAAUGUCUCGCGGCAUUCCGAGUCCGGCGGACGAAGUUGGCCAGCAUCAACCCCCAAGGCUAUAGCCCACCCGUUUUUGUGGCCUUUUUCCGCUGGACGAACUUGGCGCCCUGGCCGUCGGGCGGUUAUUUUUGGGCGCGGCUUUGCCCGCGUCCUAUUUUUGGCACACGGAGGCCCCUCGCAAAGUCUCGCGGCAUUCCGAGUCCGGCGGACGAAGUUGGCCAGCCCCACCCCCAAAGGCUAUAGCCCACCCGUUUUUGUGGUCUUUUUCCGCUGGACGAACUUGGCGCCCCGGAACUUGCUGCUGCUACCUAUCUAUAAAAUCACUACAAAAUUUUAUCACUAUAUAACAUAAAAUUUUGAACCACGAACCUUUUAAACAUUCCAUGGCGUAUUUUUGGCACACGGGGGCCCCUCGCAAAGUCUCGCGGCAUUCCGAGUCCGGCGGACGAAGUUGGCCAGCCCCACCCCCCAAGGCUAUAGCCCACCCGUUUUUGUGGCCUUUUUCCGCUGGAAGAACUUGGCGCCCCGGCCUUCGGGCGGUUAACCAUGGGCGCGGCUUUGCCCGUGGCCUAUUGUUGUCACACGGAGGCCCCUCGUAAAGUCUCGCGGCAUUCCGAGUCCGGCGGACGAAGUUGGCCAGCCCCACCCCCCAAGGCUAUAGCCCACCUGUUUUUGUGGCCUUUUUCCGCUGGACGAACUUGGCGCACCGGCCGUCGGGCGGUUAUUUUUAGGCGCGGUUUUGCCCGCGGCCUAUUUUUGGCACACGGAGGCCCCUCGCAAAGUCUCGCGGCAUUCCGAGUCCGGCGGACGAAGUUGGCCAGCCCCACCCCCAAAAGCUAUAGCCCACCCGUUUUUGUGGCCUUUUUCCGCUGGACGAACUUGGCGCCCCGGCCUUCGGGCGGUUAUUUUUGGGCGCGGCUUUGCCCACGGCCUAUUUUUGGCACACAGAGGCCCCUCGCAAAGUCUCGCGGCAUUCCGACUCCGGCGGACGAAGUUGGCCAGCCCCACCCCCCAAGG
rnacentral:lncRNA from 1 species